UUCUUUAUCUGCUUCCCUCUCUCUUCAGCUACCAAACUGUUUCCUCCUUUCGGCUUUCUCUCCCAUCAUUUGCCUCUCCUCCACUCCCUCGUCAGUAUUUCUUCCUGCCAUUUCUUAUUUUAUCACGCCUUUGUUGCUCCACCGUGUCCUCCCUCCAUUUUUCCCUCUGAAGCUUUUAAAUGUUUGAUGGGGAUUAUUGGCCAGGAGGCUCUGCUAUUCCCCCAAGGUGCCAUGUUUAGAGGAUGGAGCAACUCCUUUACUGUCCAUUCAUUUUCAGAAAAACUGACUGACAGCCAGACUUAUUGAUUGGUUAAUUGAUUAAUCACAGUUCCGUGUCAUACGCACUGAAGAUCACUUUUUUCCCCCCUUGAUGGAUUCAAGGACAAGUUUGCGGCGCUUCUAUCCAUAUCUCUCUCAUAAAAACCCACAAUCAUGACAGAUGACACAUUGAGUGCAUCGUUCCAUCGGGUGUCUCCUCAGCUCGGGGUGCAACAAGCCAUUUCCUGCUUGUUUGUGUGCUUCAGAUACUCUCUAACCUUGACUUUGCUGUAUUCAUGCAGUCGAAAAAGCAGACAGCAGGUGUCCGCCCUCCUCCUCCCUGACGACAGAGCACGUCCACUGUGCUCCUCCUCAGUCUGAAGUGGCAGUUUGAGACCUGGACCUCAUGGGCUUUUGUGCUGCAUGCUCACACAUCACAACAGUGACUCUUUACAAACGGCAACAGUAUGGUUUACACUAAUGCAACUACAGUGUCUGUUAGAAUAAAAUACAGUUUCAUUGACAUGAAUUAAUGCUCCUAAAUCCAUGUGGCUUAAAAUGUAAUGUGACUAUUCUUUAACAUAGUAAUAAAUGCACUUAUUAAAUUGGUUCUUUUGUUUUAUUAUUAAGAAAUACAAAAGAUGUAAGUA